AGUGAACGCUGGCGGUAGGCCUAACACAUGCAAGUCGAACGGCAGCACAGUAAGAGCUUGCUCUUACGGGUGGCGAGUGGCGGACGGGUGAGGAAUACAUCGGAAUCUACUUUUUCGUGGGGGAUAACGUAGGGAAACUUACGCUAAUACUGCAUACGACCUCCGGGUGAAAGCAGGGGAUCUUCGGACCUUGCGCGAUUGAAUGAGCCGAUGUCGGAUUAGCUAGUUGGCGGGGUAAAGGCCCACCAAGGCGACGAUCCGUAGCUGGUCUGAGAGGAUGAUCAGCCACACUGGAACUGAGACACGGUCCAGACUCCUACGGGAGGCAGCAGUGGGGAAUAUUGGACAAUGGGCGCAAGCCUGAUCCAGCCAUACCGCGUGGGUGAAGAAGGCCUUCGGGUUGUAAAGCCCUUUUGUUGGGAAAGAAAAGCAGCAGGUUAAUACCCCGCUGUUCUGACGGUACCCAAAGAAUAAGCACCGGCUAACUUCGUG
rnacentral:rRNA from 1 species